AAUUCCUUCAGACAUCUCAAAGUGGUGAGGGUGUAAUGAGAAGGUGGCUGCUACAACCAGGAAGAGGGUCCUCACCACAACCCGACCAUGGUGGUAUCCUGAUCUCAGACUUCCAGUCUCCAAAACGAGUGAACGUUUUCCACACAGAGAAAGCGGGUGUGCCAGUCGUUAAUGUGUUAUCUCUCAGCUUCGAAAUAACCUUGCGUUGCCCUGCUUGGUGAUGCUGGAGCUGGGCCCUGUAGACAUUUCUCCUUCGCCAGCUGGCUGGCUGUUAGGCUUUGGGAACAGAGGGUGCUGGAGCACCACUUCAGGGCCAAACAGGAGGAAGGCAUUUCCCUUCCUGUUCCUAGCCCUGGCACCAGCAGGUCAAAGUGGAGAGGGCCUGGAAGUGCUCACCUCAGCAUCCUGCCUGGACCUGCUCCGCUAGCCUGCAAGUUUCCCACUACCCAGGGCCAUUGCUGUGGAUCAGCCCCCAUCUGCAAUCUCUGUCCAGGUUUUCCAGAAAGCAGACCUGAGGCAAGACUCCUGUGCUCGACUUUGUCAGUGAGUGCGACCACAGGAGCCAGAGAAAAGGACAGAGAGAGUCCAGCGGGGAAGGAGAGGAACCGGGGGCAAAGACGCCUUAGCGAGCUGGCUGCCUCCAAGUGUGACUGAGGCUCAGCCCCGCCAAACCGCCCAGACGUGCCUCACGCUCUCCCCUGGCUCCAGGGGAAAUUUCUCCUGUUGGUCAGAGAGAUGAUGAAAAAGAAUGCAGAAGAGAUGAGAUGUGAGAAGGACUUCACCACCAUUGCCGGCUUUGAAGAUGAAGGGGUCCAUGAGCCAAAGAAUGUGGGAUGGCCUCUAGAAGCUGAGAACAACAUGAGGCCAACAGCCAGCAAGGAGACUUCAGCUGGAGACUUCAGCACUACAACUGCAUGGAACUAAGUUCUGCCAACAACCUGCAUGCAGCAGGGAGCAUCCGCUCCCCCAGGGCCGUCAGUAAGGAAAGCUGUCCUGGCACCUUGGUUCUAG
rnacentral:lncRNA from 1 species